CCUUACAGAGUGGGCUGGGGCUGGCUCUGACCCCCUCAACCCCGCCCCUUCUGCCCUAGGCCCUGUCCCUUCCGGGGGCCAGAGGUGGCCCCAGGGUACCGGUAAGUCACUCGACUUACUUUUACCCCUGCUCUACACUCUCUGUCAUCCCAGCUGAAAGAAGUGCUUUCAGUUCCUAUUCCAAACAUCAUGGGAGGUGUUACACAUCUCCUGCAGUUUAGUGGUGCAUGAAGUGAUUACUGUAUAUAGCAGUUUGCAAAGAGCUUUGGUAAGGCAGUGUUAAUUAUUAUACAUAGACAAACAAAAACAACAUUUCACAAUUGCAGUAAGACUUCACUCCUUACACUUCAUUAUAUUCAUUCACACUGCACUUUCCUGCUGCCAGGAGACUUCAGUAACACAUUACAAUUCAUGCCUCGUCACACCUGUUAGUGUUUCCUAAAUGAGACCCUUAAGUAUAUCUAAAGGAGCCAACGUGUUUGCCCAUUUAGCCACCACAGAGACCAUAUUUAAUAGAUACUUUCUAAGGCUAUAAACCUCUAGUCCAAUGGAAUUGGAAGCACCUUAGACAAAUACAUAGGAAGAAAACAAAGUGUCCCCAGGUUCACAUUUUUAUUUUCACGUGAUCCUCAGCCUCUCGAUUUAUAGAGCACCAAGGGACAUUUCAUCACAGCACCAUGCACCUUUCUCUUGGUGGGCUCACAGCGAGUGAAUGACAGAGUAUAACAGCCUGCCUCCAUGAGGCUAAGAUUUCCAGGGGCUGACUGUUUACUCGCUAAUGCCAGACUCAUGAAGCUGCCAGAUUUUACCUGCUUCUCCACUGGACAGUGAUGGCAGCUAGUCUCUGCCAAGGAAAUCCUGCCAUGCAGGUGGGUAAGGUUGCACGUCAGCAUGGAACUGGCAUCUCCAGCGCUCCCCACCUCACUGAGCAAACACACUACUCCAACAUCUUCGACAGGAACCAGCUCCUGAUGCAUUGGGUUUAUCAGAACAAUGGGCCAGGGCACGUGAUUUGCCAACAGAGGUCAGCAGAUGAAAAAAGGGGAAGAUUAGAAAAAGCGUUUGGAAUGGAGGAAUACCCACCUCAUUCCACCACAGCUAACAAACAACACCAACAGAGAUUAUGACUGGUGUGAUUUUGGUGUGAUACUGGAGCAAAAGUUUGGAAGACCAGAGAGCAAAACCGAAGCUGUAAGUGAGAAAAUUAACACGCUCACCUUGGAUACAAGAGAACAAGCUGGGUCAGACCUAAAGCACACAUUCAGCAAACCAGUGAGAAAAGGAGGUACACCCAAGACUGCAACAGAGAAAUUAGAUGAUAUGGAUAAUCAGACAUACAUAAGAACACCUUGAUCUCCAAGUAGACAGGGAAACUCCUGUAAAUAUCUUGCACAGUGGAUGCUCAGAAAGCAGAGAAUGAGAUAAUUGAAACUGAAAGGACACACUGGAAAAAAAAAAAAACAUUGUGAGACUAUAUAACUCCCUCGACUAAUAGCAGGUUCUGGUGCUGCUAUUCCAGUCUCUGCCUGAAGCCUCUUUCCAUGCAGUAUAUGUAAUAUAUAUAUAUUUAUUUGAGAAGGGAUCCCAAGGAGAAGAGCAGAGCUUAGAAAUGCAAUGCUUGCCUUCCUACAUGACUCCUCUGAAGGCCACAGAGGAAGAAGCAAGAGCAGGAUUUGUUGGCACUGGAAACCAAGGCAUGGCAGCGGCUGGAAAAGUAACUCUUGUGUCCUUUGAUGGAGUCGUUAGGCUCUUGUAAUGAAUUCACAUACCAGGAAGUGGCAGUAACAUAAUUCAGUAGUAAGCUUCAGAACAAAAAGUUGUUACUCCUGAUUAGCCACUUGGGGGCGCUGAACACCUUCAGGUGUUUCAGAACAUGCCUGAUGGGAUUUUCAUCUAGGCUGACCAGUGACCAGACAGCAAAAUCAGGACAGGGGGUGGGGGGUAAUAGGAGCCUAUAUAAGAAAAAGGCCCAAAAAUCAGGACUGUCCCUAUAAAAUCGGGACAUAUGGUCACCUUAACCAUAACAUACUUGCAGAAAGUUUCUUUUUAACCCUGUUAUCUCAGGACUCUGCCAGGAGAAAGACCCCAUUACAAGUGGGAUUCCUCAGACUAGAGUAGUGGUUUGUAGUAACUCUGCCAAACUAAGCCCAUGCUAGAUGACGUAGAAUUCACCACCUCCCAUUCACGUCACCUGAGGCUGCUCUGAGCCCCAGCUAAGACCCCCGGUAAAUCAGAGCAUGCAUGUGUAGAGCUGGUGGCCAGAGAGAGACACUGACCUACUACAUUAGGGUCACUGGUGUAGCUCUUACAGCAGCAAAAUCAGUGAGAAUCCCUGCACUGAUCUUCAGUGCUUAGCGAACUGGCCUCACAUUGUCCAGCUGCAGGGCUAUUGGAAACCUAAUCCUGAACUGCAAUUAAAUACAUUCAUUCAAAAUAAUAGCUUGACAAGGAACCUUAAAUACUGCACUGGGACUCUGAAAACAGACAAGACAUUUUCAAGUAACUUCUAAGAACAGCCUAAAAAACAAGUCCAAAGCCCUCUCAGCCAGUCACAAGUUCCUCAGAAUAGCAUGUUGUUCUACAAUCUCUAACAUCAUGCUAACUCACAAGACAACUCUCACCUUUGUGCCCAAUUUUCUCCACCUUCAUAGCCCUCAGCAACUGCCAUUAGCAGAGCAUGUGUGUGAGCAAGAAUGCUGGCCACAGGUCUGGGUGAAGCUUGCCCAGGGUUCUGAACAGUAACCGCUGUAUACUUUGACCCAUAUCUAAUUAUACAGUGGCCAUAAAUAGAUCCAGUGCUGGAGCCUUCGAAUUCCACCUGUCCUGCUGGGAGGGAGCUCUCUGGUUUGUUUUCACAGGGCCUCAGGGCUGCAUGGGGAAGUUUAGAACUUGUAGUGCUGUAAUGGGAUGUCUACAUGGAAAUCUGUCUACAGCACCCUAUCAAGGAAAGCAUCUUGAGCUACUUCAGUGCAUCUACACUUCACCAACAGGUGUGCUGGCACCCAACAGUUACAGUCAACUCUUUUGGAGCUAGAGCAUGCGGGUCUGGCCUUGAGAAGUUGUGGAUUGGCUUGAGACUAGUCUGUUUUCCAACUUGUGUUCUUUUCAGCUCCAGAAGAGGUGUAUCAAGAGCAGAGAAAGCAGCACCAUGGAGCAGGAAUUAGACCCAAGGCCAGGAGAAAGCACAUGAGAAUGGAGCAGCUUUCUCUGAAACACAUGGGGCUCACCUGAAUAAGGCACUUGUUUAGGAUGACCACAGGCCCCUUAGAGCACAGGCCACCAGGGCUCCUUGGACUCAGGGUGGGAAGCAUGCCACUCGGCCAAAGGCUGCCCAGUCUAUUCUCCUGGCAGAGAGAAAGUUGAUUUGCAAUGAGGUGAAGGCCCCUGUUCAGUGGAAUUAGAUAGCUCUAAAUGGGUAAGAAAGUGGAUAAAACAGUGACCAUGCCCCCUUAUGCAGCGAGAGCCAGCUUCCCCAAAGGUCAAGGGACAUUUGGGCCCAUAUCUAGUUUAGACAGGACCCCUUGAGUGUAUGCAAGGCACAGUUCAGCGUCCUAGAAGCACUGCUCCGUGCCUCAGGCAGCGUGGUAUUUGUGCAGAAAUAAAGGAGGGGGCAAUGCAGGCAGCAUUCCUGCAGCAGGAAUGCUUCACAGGAGACACUUGGGGGCCAACCAGGGGAGGGAAUGCCUUUCAUCUUUAGGGAUUUAGUCCAGUCUGCUGGUAACAUGAUCCUGCAGAAUUGGAUGAGCCUGAGAAGGCUGGAUAUAAGGCCUAGUAAGAGACAAAUGGAGCUUGUCUCUUGGGAAUGUGUGGCUAGGUCACCUGUCCAUUUGGACACAAUUUCUCUAUCCCUUACCUAGAACAGCAUUUGUUAAUACUCCCACCUCUGCCCACUCCUGAUCUGGAAGGCUCAGAUCCCACAGAGACUGUGCUGUUAAAAUAGUCACCAAAAUUUCUAGUCCCAUUCCCUGUUUCCUAUCACAAUAUGCAACAAUGACCUGGCUGCUUUGAGAAGCCUGCAGUGAAAAGCUGCGCUCUUCUGUUAUCGCCCCAGGAACAGGCAGUGCUGGCAUGGUCAGCACAAGAGAAGCGGCCUGUAAGCCUGAGCUUAGCCCCUUCAAUCCCAGCUCUAGUGGGGGGGGGAAAAAAACAGAGCCUGAAUUCAGUUUUUUUUU